rnacentral:tRNA from 3 species
GUCCCUAUCGUCUAGCCCGGCCCAGGACACCGGCCUUUCACGCCGGCGACGGGGGUUCGAAUCCCCCUGGGGACGCCA